rnacentral:rRNA from 1 species
AUUGAACGCUGGCGGCAGGCCUAACACAUGCAAGUCGAACGGUAACAGAAAGCAGCUUGCUGCUUUGCUGACGAGUGGCGGACGGGUGAGUAAUGUCUGGGAAACUGCCUGAUGGAGGGGGAUAACUACUGGAAACGGUAGCUAAUACCGCAUAACGUCGCAAGCCCAAAGAGGGGGACCUUCGGGCCUCUUGCCAUCGGAUGUGCCCAGAUGGGAUUAGCUAGUAGGUGGGGUAACGGCUCACCUAGGCGACGAUCCCUAGCUGGUCUGAGAGGAUGACCAGCCACACUGGAACUGAGACACGGUCCAGACUCCUACGGGAGGCAGCAGUGGGGAAUAUUGCACAAUGGGCGCAAGCCUGAUGCAGCCAUGCCGCGUGUAUGAAGAAGGCCUUCGGGUUGUAAAGUACUUUCAGCGGGGAGGAAGGGAGUAAAGUUAAUACCUUUGCUCAUUGACGUUACCCGCAGAAGAAGCACCGGCUAACUCCGUG